AUUGAACGCUAGCGGCAGGCCUAACACAUGCAAGUCGAACGAGUGGCGGAUGGGUGAGUAAUGUCUGGGAAACUGCCCGAUGGAGGGGGAUAACUACUGGAAACGGUAGCUAAUACCGCAUACCAUCGGAUGUGCCCAGAUGGGCUUAGCUAGUAGGUGGGGUAAUGGCUCACCUAGGAGACGAUCCCUAGCUGGUCUGAGAGGAUGACCGGCCACACGGGAACGGGGCCACGGUCCAGACUCCUACGGGAGGCAGCAUGGGGGAAUAUUGCACAAUGGGCGCAAGCCUUGUGCAGCCAGGCCGCGUGUAUGAAGAAGGCGUUCGGGUUGUAAAGUACUUUCAGCGAGGAGGCGUUACUCGCAGAAGAAGCACCGGCUAACUCCGUGCCAGCAGCCGCGGUAAUUC
rnacentral:rRNA from 1 species